UACGUAGGGACCAAGCGUUGUUCGGAUUUACUGGGCGUAAAGGGCGCGUAGGCGGCGCGGUAAGUCACUUGUGAAAUCUCUGAGCUUAACUCAGAACGGCCAAGUGAUACUGCAGUGCUAGAGUGUGGAAGGGGCAAUCGGAAUUCUUGGUGUAGCGGUGAAAUGCGUAGAUAUCAGGAGGAACACCGGUGGCGAAGGCGGCCCUCUGGACGGUGACUGACGCUGAGACGCGAAAGCGUGGGGAGCAAACAGG
rnacentral:rRNA from 1 species